UAUCAAGAUUGUGUUCAGUUUUAACUCACUCACUUCGCACUUACUCCGGUACUUAGUGUCUUUCAUUCCAUCAUAAGAAAACAUUUCUGGAAUCUGUAUCUGAAAUAGCAUUUAGAUGUAUUUACACAGUUUAAUGUAUCUUAGAGGGGACAUGGAUGCAUUUAAACUGCAGUUACAGAUGCAUAAAUAGGCCUAAUGUUUUGUUUUUAACAUAAAACGUUGAAUACUGAUAUUUGAAAUAAUUUAAGACAUGAAAAAAAUAGUCAAAAUGUUAAAUUAAAACCGCCAGUAGGUGGCAGCAUGUGACUGUUAAUGAGUGAGUCAUUGAGAUUCAGCUGAUUCAUUCAAAAGGCUGAUUCAUUCAGAAACAAAGCAUUUGACUGUGUUGAGUGAAUGAGUGAAUCACUGAAUAAUUUUUAUCAACCGAUUCGUUCAAAUAGCUGAUUCAUUCAAUAAGUAAACACUGUCCAUUGCUCAGAGAUGCAAAAAGUGCUGUGAUUGAGCAAAAACAAGCAAUAUUAUGUCUAAAAUGUAAGUCACUUGUUGCUUUACUAAUCUUGUAUAAAAUUAUUAUUACAUGUGUUAUCAUGCUGAUAUCUGCAGAAAAAUGGCACUCUUUGUGUGAUAUAGAUUAAGUUAACUAUAAUGAAUUAUAUAAAUAUAAAAAGCAUACAGAAGCAUUUUUGCUGUCUACAAUUUAGAAUGCCUGGAAUUUUAAUAAAUCAACGUGCGUGCACUCUGUGAUUUGGUGAUAGCCUAUUUGAUCAUGUCAGAUCGCACAUCAUUACAAUAACACUUACAGUUACCAUAUUAUCGCACACCCCAGACUCGACUUGAGUGGAAAAUGAAUCAUCCGCGGUUGUGUGCGCACUUGUUUGCACAUGAGCAAAGGUGUUUUUAGGAGUCUAACAAGAGCCAGACCUCUGAUUCGUCAAACAUGCUUUCCUGCAGUUCGUGUUUUUUCUGACUUCUGACUAUUUUGUAGUAAGUAACGAAUAUGCUUCGGGGAAAUGUAUCGGAGUAAAAGUAUACAUUUUAAUUAGGUAAUGUAGUGGAGUAAAAUUAAAAGUUGGCUGAAAUAUAAAAACUCAAGUAAAGUACAGAUACUCCCAAAAAAUACUUAAGUACUGUAAUGAAGUAUUAUUACUUCGUUACAUUACACCACUGCAUAUCACUUACAUGUAAAUACUUCUAAGAGUUACAGUAUGACUAUAUUGCCACAGCCAUAUCACCCUGCAGCUCAAGACUGGUUGCCCACUGAAGCUAGUUUACACUUUAGAAUAGUGGAUGCAGAAAGUGUUGUAAAUGCCUUGUAUACACCUACAGAUCAUUUGUAACCGGUAAGAAAAAUCUACAAAUAAUGUGUAACACAUUUACAAGUGAUUUACACUUUAGAUUAGGGGAUGCAGAAAGCUUUGUAAAUAAUUUAUUCAUGCAUUUACACAACAGGUUUUUAAUACUUUGUAGUGUGUACUGCAAUGUAAAGGCUGACUAGUGAGGGUGUAGACCAGGGUUCCUCAAUAGGCGGCCCGCGAGAGAAAAAUGUUUGGCCCGUGCUAAUUUCAAAUAAUGUGGUAUGAAAAUUCAAAUGCAGCAUCAGAAAGCGACAUUAACUUACAUUGUGUCUACACCGGCACUACAAAAUACAAUAGAUAGUGAUGCUUUCUAGUAAACUGCUGACUCGUUCUAUUAUGACGUACCGACACAAAGUUCAAAUGAUUUGCAAUCACUGAUCUAUAAUAGAGAACAUAUAGAUCAGUGUUUGCAAUGCUUUUUUGCGUCCAGUGUAGAUGUUAUGUGACAGCAAAAACAUGACAAGUGUGAAGAAAAGAAAAGUGGACACGGAAAAUAGAUGAUUCAAAUGUGAAUGGACUGAACAUUUUUGAGUGAGUGAGUGAGUGAUACCAUCUUUGUUAUGGAUGUUGGUUGGCAGUGAGUUCACAGUUUUAACAUAAUGCCUGGCUCACACUACAGGAUUUUUUGCCCGAUUUAGCCCCGAUUUCCCCCUCCUGAGAAUCGGAGGGAAAAUCUUGUCGAGCACCUCACAGUAAAAUCAGCAGUGUAAUAUUUGCAGUGUUAAAAGUUAUUAAUUCCCAAAGAGUUGAAUUAACAAUCUACAGUGUUAAACAGUACUCGUGUUCAGUGUUGUCACAGGGUGUAAUAUUUAUGUAAUUUCACUUUUACACUGAAAAUGUAAAAAAAAACGCCAAAUUUAUCUGACCCUCAAGCACCGCUGCCUCAAAGCGAUGACGCCAUUUUAUCUUCAGACGACCGAGACGGUAAGUUGGAUUGCUUUUCUCUUUAUAAAAUUACACGGGAUAAAUACUUUUUGUUGAUAAUUUUACUCAAAAUAUGAUUAGUGGUGAACACAUUUAGAAAUUACUAACUGCGAGUUUUUUUGUCAGGUUUACAGAGUUAAGUUCGUGAGGGGUAGAGAUGCAACGUUAGCCUGUGUGAAAGUUUUUAAUGCGGGUUCGAUUUCCUGAAAUAAGAUCCUCUCGCCUUCAUUCCCGCCGAGGCCUGGUUCGCCUGGUACGAGUCUGAAGCAGCCGCAUUUGGGCGGUUUUCUACUCAGAGGAGAGAAUUCAUCAAAUGAAGCCAAGUUCCUGGCUUUUCCCAAGACCUUCAAGGACACAAUUGACCUUGGAAUCAGCUGCAAAGGAGGAUGAAACCGAUGUUUAAGAAUGGGACAGCGAUAUUGCAUCAAUUUGUCUCCUACUUCAUUUGGUUCCACCAUCACCACAAGGCUGCAAGGGACCUGGAGAAAUGUCCUCCUAUCAAGCUGAAAAACAUCUUCAAAAAGGCACUAAUAAGAAGAAUACCUUGUAGAGACCACCUGCUCGCUGAUGGGACAACGAGGAACAGCGUUCAUGGAUGCUACUUGUUCAAAUCUACCUGUCAUAUUUGUUAAUGUCUAGGUAAAUUUGAUGAUUUUACGUGUUUUAUUAACUAUUCUAGGUUUCCGUGCAACACUUAAUGAAUGUGACUGACUAAUUAACCUCUACACAUCUGGUAUAUGCUUUAAAGUUGCCACUUUGCCCAUUUGUUAAAUAAAUGUUGGAAUCUGUCUGAAGACUCUUGAUUUUAUGUCUAAUCUUGUACAUUAACACUAUACAAAGGCAUUUUUAUUUUUGCGCUAAAAAGAAUACUUUAUUAAUAACACUUAAAGGAUUAAGUCAACACCAGGGGUGUUAAAUACCCCAGAGUGUAAAAUUUGAACAACAAUUGCAAGUGUAACAAUUUACACUCGGAGUGUAAUUUUUCUACACUGUAAGGUGCUAUAUUAACACUAAAAAUUCAACACUAUGAAUGGUGUACUUUUAACACUAGACAGAUUGGGACCAUAUAUGAUCUUUAGUAGUGUUAACCUGACACUUUUUUACUGUGCUUGAUCGGUCCCGAUGUUCGGCGCGGAUUAUCUGGUAAUGUGAGGCGUUCACCGAUAGAACUUUGCACCUCCCAAUCCUCUAGCACACAAAUCAGGGCCACCCCAAUCACAUCAAACAUGUUUGAUAUUUAGGAUUUAAAUCAGGAUGAUGACGGCUAUAUGAUUACGUCAGCACUUUAACAGCCAAUGCGCGACCACAAGACAGCUGCUGUACGGCUCCGUUGAAAAGUGGAGACGGAGGAAACUGCUUCUUGUAGUUUUGUAGUAACACGAUUGUCUGUAUAAUGUGUCGAACACAUAUCACAACUGAUAAGGAGAAAGAGAGUUUUGAACAUACCGGGUGAGUGAAAGCUGCUAGCACGCUAGAGCGAGCGCACAGGCCGAUGAAUGAAAUUAAAUACGCUGUGUUUUCCGCCAACUGGUAACCCACGGUGCCGAAAUACAAUUGGGUAAACUGACAGUGGGCGGGUUUCACAAACCAUAACAAACACAGACAUUCCGGGCCGGAAUGCACAUUUUCAAAGGAAUUUUUAUGCUUUAGUAGAGUCAAAAUCCUACAUACAGCACCUUUAAGAUUUGAGGGAAGAUAAUCUGCAAAGAUUCUCCUUAUGUGUGUGCUGCAACCGGAUUUCAUAAUCGGUUAGGAUUUUAAAAAUCCUGUAGUGUGAGCCAGGCAUAAGUUUGCUUUAAUUUAUUUUCAAGAUCUGAGGUAAAAUUGUUGCUUUCACUAUGGCUAUAAACAUCAAGCAAAAUAAUAUUCAAACUCGUAUUAGACACUUUUAACAUUGAAUAAAGCACAUAAUCAUUACCUGAGAUUAUCA